CCCUUUGGACUUUUCUCUAGGUUUGGUGCUAAACUCUUCUGUGAGCUCACUCUACCCCUCUCCCUUUAACUCUCUCAAGGGUAUCAUUCACUUAAAACGUUGCCUCUGGU
ensembl:misc_RNA